GGGGGCACGGGGGGAACGUCGACAGUCAGGCAACGAGCGAGACCCACGCCAACAGUUGCUAGCUCGUCCUCCGGGAUGGAGAGGACACUGUUGGGACCGCCUCUGCUAAAGAGGAGGAAGGAAUGGGCAACGGUAGGUCAGCAUGCCCCGAAUUAACUGGGCUACACGCGGGCUACAAUGGGUGGGACAAUGGGUAUCGACACCGAAAGGUGAAGGCAAUCUCCUAAACCCAUCCUUAGUUCGGAUUGUGGGCUGCAACUCGCCCACAUGAAGCUGGAAUCCGUAGUAAUCGUAUCUCAAUAUGGUACGGUGAAUAUGUCCCUGCUCCUUGCACGAAUUCGCCG
rnacentral:rRNA from 1 species